rnacentral:lncRNA from 1 species
CACUCUCCUCACCCUCAUUAAAAUUCUCUGAAAAUAAAACCACCUCUUCUUACCACCACCAAAUCUAGCUAACAUAUCCAAAACCUACAACCACUACCAAACACCACCAACUUCCGUCGUGGACCAUCACCGGCGGUCUCUGAUUCUCAUGCGCCGUCCACUUCUACACAAUCGGCACUGGCUUUUUUCCGGUCAGGUGAGUGUGAUUUACUAGGUCGGUGAAAGAUACGACGCCACCGUUUCUGCAAUAAUUGGCACCACCAACCGGAGGAAUAGGAGAAGAAGCAAGGAUCUAGAUCUGAAAAUCACUCGGUUCACGUAACAGUCGUCUCACCGGAAAAGGUGUUCCGUUUCAUUGCAGGGAUCUAGAUCUGAAAAUCAUUCCGUUCACAUAACAGUUGUCACUGCUGCAGGCGUUGCACAGAUCUACAUCUGAAAAUCAUUCCGGUUCCGUCGAUUAACAUUUUAUUCAUUCGUUUCAGGAAAAUCUCAGCAAAUCGUCGAUUAACAUUUUGUUCAUUACGUACGUUGAAGAAAAAUACUCAGAAUGUGAAGUAUUUGUUUCCAUGGUGGAUAUUAAUUUUAAGCAGAGGGAUGUUUACGUAUUUGUCUUAUUGUCUUCCAUGGAGGAGAGUGUGAGUUAAGAUAGAGAUGGAGGGGGUGAGGGUAAAUAUUAAGCUUUGUUAUAAAUUUUAAUUUAAUUAAAUUUGUAAAAAGACCAAACUGUCCUUAAGUGAAUAGAUUUAACUAAAAAUUU